GUCCCUCACCCCGCCCAUGGAGGUCAUUAAGGCUCCCUGCCAGCGAUUCCUGGUCUGUCCAGCCUGACUGCCCAGGAGCCUGGCUCUUCCUACCCCUGGGCUUGGCCAGGGGGUCGUGUGAUGACUUCUUGCCAAUGAAGCGUAGGGCCUCUAAGGAGGUAAUCAGAGUUACAUGAGGUCAUAAAGGUGGUCCCUGAUCCCAGGGGACUGCUGUUCCUAUAAGCGAAAGACCCCAGGCUAUGCGAGGACACAGCAAGAAGGUGGCCAUCUACAAGACGAGGAGAAGGCCUCACCAGGAACCAGCCCCACUGGCACCUUGAUCUUGGACUUCCAGCCUCCGGAACUGUGAGAAAAUAAAUUGUUUAAGCCACCCUGUCUCUGGUAUUUUGUUAUAACAGCCCGAGCGGACUGUUGCGCUCGCUCUAGGCAUGUGGGUUAGGGCUUCCAGAGAAGAGUCCGGCCUGGCCAACAGCUUGAUUUUGGCCUUGUGGGAUCCUAGAGAGCCCAGCUGAGCCUGUCUAGACUUCUGACCAACAGGACUGA